CACGAACUGCGCGAACGUUAUUCGGAAUCACUGGGCUUAAAGAGUCCGUAGGCGGCUCGGAAGGUGAGGUGUGAAAUCCCACGGCUCAACCGUGGAAUUGCGCUUCAAACCACCGAGCUUGAGGGAGAUAGAGGAGAGCGGAACUGAUGGUGGAGCGGUGAAAUGCGUUGAUAUCAUCAGGAACACCGGUGGCGAAAGCGGCUCUCUGGGUCUCUUCUGACGCUGAGGGACGAAAGCUAGGGGAGCGAACGGG
rnacentral:rRNA from 1 species